AUUGAGCGCUGGCGGCAUGCCUUACACAUGCAAGUCGAACGGCAGCACGGGGCAACCUGGUGGCGAGUGGCGAACGGGUGAGUAAUGCAUCGGAACGUACCUUUCAGUGGGGGAUAACGUAGCGAAAGUUACGCUAAUACCGCAUAUUCUGUGAGCAGGAAAGCAGGGGAUUGCAAGACCUUGCGCUGAUUGAGCGGCCGAUGUCAGAUUAGCUAGUUGGUGAGGUAAAGGCUCACCAAGGCGACGAUCUGUAGCGGGUCUGAGAGGAUGAUCCGCCACACUGGAACUGAGACACGGUCCAGACUCCUACGGGAGGCAGCAGUGGGAAAUGUUGGACAAUGGGGGCAACCCUGAUCCAGCCAUGCCGCGUGAGUGAAGAAGGCCUUCGGGUUGUAAAGCUCUUUCGGCCGGGAAGAAAUCGCACGGGCUAAUACCCUGUGUGGAUGACGGUACCGGAAUAAGAAGCACCGGCUAACUACGUGCCAGCCGCCGCUGUAACAC
rnacentral:rRNA from 1 species